rnacentral:rRNA from 1 species
GGACGAACGCUGGCGGCGUGCUUAACACAUGCAAGUCGAGCGAUGAAGCUUCUUCGGAAGUGGAUUAGCGGCGGACGGGUGAGUAACACGUGGGUAACCUGCCUCAUAGAGGGGAAUAGCCUUCCGAAAGGAAGAUUAAUACCGCAUAAGAUUGUAAUAUCGCAUGAUAUAGCAAUUAAAGGAGUAAUCCGCUAUGAGAUGGACCCGCGUCGCGUUAGCUAGUUGGUGAGGUAACGGCUCACCAAGGCGACGAUGCGUAGCCGACCUGAGAGGGUGAUCGGCCACAUUGGGACUGAGACACGGCCCAGACUCCUACGGGAGGCAGCAGUGGGGAAUAUUGCACAAUGGGGGAAACCCUGAUGCAGCCAACGCCGCGUGAGUGAUGACGGUCUUCGGAUUGUAAAGCUCUGUCUUCAGGGAUGAUAAUGACGGUACCUGAGGAGGAAGCCACGGCUAACUACGUGCCAGCCGCGGC